GGCGGCUCCCUGUGCUUGACCGGACGCCGGGCCGGCCAGUCCCGCAGCGCGCGUCUGUCCGCGCCUCCCCCACGCGCCCCACCCCACCCACCCCCCACCGCCCCGGAGCCGCGGACUACGGGUCCCGACGACCGGCGCACCGUCGGCGUGGCGGUGGUUCGGCGGUCCGCCGGCGCGCGGCAUGUCGGAACUGGAUAUGGCUUUUAUUAGCUUUGGGAUUUUACUCCUCACCCACUCUUGUCCUAUAUUUUAUUCUCUAAAGAGCAUCCAGAAAAAGUUGGAUGGUAAAAUCUUCAUUAUGUGUUUUACAGCUGUAUUUAUAAUUGUUGAUCAUUUGUAAGACUAUAAGUGGAGCUAAUUCAACCAAAAGAUAUAUAAAUAUUUUUCUCCUUAUUUUUGUUCGUUCUUUUCACUUUUUAAAAGACAUGACAAUUGGAUGGUUUCAGGUUUUUGUUGUAUAUAUGAAACCUCUUACAUGUAAAUAGCAUAGUAGGGGAAGGAGAAAAGACUUUAUUUUUGUUUUUUAUUUUUAUUGAAGUAUAGUUGAUUUCCAGUGUUGUAUCAGUUUCAGGUGUACAGCAAAGUGAAUAAGUUAUACAUAUACAUAUAUCCACUCUAUUUUAGAUUCUUUUCCCAUAUAGGCCAUCACAGAGUAUUGAGUAAAGUUCCUUGUACUAUACAGUAGGUCCCUAUUAGUUAUCUGUUCUAUACACAGUAGUGUGUAAAUGUCAAUCCCAAUAUCCCAAUUUAUCCCUCCCCCUCCCUUCCCCCCCCCCGCCCCGUAACCAUAAGCUUGUUUUCUACAUCUGUGACUCUGUUUCUGUUUUACAGAUAAGUCCAUUUGUACCAUUUUAUAGAUUCCACAUGUAAGAGAUAUAUGAUACUUGUCUUUCUCUGUCUGACUUUCUUUACUCAUGAUGACAAUCUCUGGGUCCAUCCAUGUUGCCACAAAUGGCAUUAUUUCGUUCUUUGUUAUGGCUGAGUAAUAUUCCGUUGUAUAUAUAAACCACAUCUUCUUUAUCCAUUCUUCUGUCAAGGACAUUUAGGUUGCUCCCAUGUCCUGGCUAUUGUAAAUAGCACUGCAGUGAACAUUGGGGUGCAUGUAUCUUUUUGAAUCAUGGUUAUCUCUAGAUACAUGCCCGGGAGUGGGAUUGCUAGCUCACAUGGUAGCUCUGUUUUUAGUUUUUUAAGGAACCUUCAUACUGUUCUCCAUAAUUGCUAUACCAAUUUACAUUCCCACCAACAGUGUGGGAGGGUUCCCUUUUCUCCAUACCUUCUCCAGCCUUUAUCGU